GUGAAGAUGGAAUCAUACUGCUAGACUUAGAGCGUCCAAAUCAUGACCAGUAUAGGGCGUCCUGCUGCCUCGGAGUCAGCAGUAUACCCCGAUGAGGGCAUUUUUGGAAGAUCAAACUUUGUAGCAAGGCAGAGUCCACCUCCCGGUCGAUCCUCCUACCACUAGUUUGCCCACCCAAAAACAAUAUCCCCUCCGAGCUAGGCUUCCGGCCGCCGCCGACGCGCGCCCCCGUAGCGAUCGGAAUGACCCCUACGAACUAGGGUUCCGGCUAUCGCCGACGCGCACCACCGUGUGGCCCAGCUAGUUGAUCUACGGGCAGGCUGAUACGGUAGAUCAGGCGCCGCACAGCGAGGUGACGAGCUGGUCGAUCGUCGGCCAGGUGGCCAAGCCCGCCGGCACAGCGCCUCUCAAACGGCAUCCCUGGUUGGCGGCGGAGUUAGAGCGGUGGACGUUGUGCCGUCACCCAGCGGCUGCACGCGCAGCCGAAGCACCGCUCCUCCUGCCGUAACUUGGGUUGAGUGGCCUUACGUCGCCAUCCCUGAGGAGAAAGAGCGCAGUCUGCUCGCUGGUCUUGUCGCGGCGUCGAGGUCUGUUGGAUGACGGCUGCUGCCCCGAGGUUUGUUGGAUGACUGCUGCUGCCCCGCAUGGUUUCCAAUGCCGGCAGUGAUGCAGCCAGCAGCAAUGAGGCCGUGCCGCUGUAAUCCGAGCAUAGGACUAAGAUUUCCUGCGGGGUCUUUGUCAUGGGAAAACAGAUCAGUAUUUGAACACAACAGACCUCACGAGGAUAUAAGCAAACUCACCAUGCCUGGUUUAGUUGCACAAAAGAAGGCAUUUUUUGAAGAAUAAUACAAGAAGAAGGCUCAGAAAGCUAUGCAUCUCACUGAAGCACAAUCUGAAGAAAUGAGUGAUGACAGUACACUCUGCAGGCACGACGACAAAGCACAUGCAGUUAUUUCCCGAAGAUCCUAUGGUUACUGCUCCAAGCUACAUCUCUGAACCAUCUACUGCUCCAAGGUCUGAAAGUGAAACAGGAGCCAUAUAAAAUGACUUUCCUGGAGCGUACUAAAGAAAGCUUUCACAUUGUCUGUUUCUUCCUCUCUUGGUUGAUUUAUGCAUACCAGUAAAUUUAUCUGAAAAGUUAUAGAGAAUAUUGUUUCAUAUCAAGUGAAUAACACUCUGUCUAAUUGGCACACUUCAUAAUUUAUUUGUGUUAUCUAUUUCA